rnacentral:rRNA from 1 species
GAUGAACGCUGGCGGCGUGCCUAAUACAUGCAAGUCGAGCGAACAGACGAGGAGCUUGCUCCUCUGACGUUAGCGGCGGACGGGUGAGUAACACGUGGAUAACCUACCUAUAAGACUGGGAUAACUUCGGGAAACCGGAGCUAAUACCGGAUAAUAUAUUGAACCGCAUGGUUCAAUAGUGAAAGACGGUUUUGCUGUCACUUAUAGAUGGAUCCGCGCCGCAUUAGCUAGUUGGUAAGGUAACGGCUUACCAAGGCAACGAUGCGUAGCCGACCUGAGAGGGUGAUCGGCCGCACUGGAACUGAGACACGGUCCAGACUCCUACGGGAGGCAGCAGUAGGGAAUCUUCCGCAAUGGGCGAAAGCCUGACGGAGCAACGCCGCGUGAGUGAUGAAGGUCCUCGGAUCGUAAAACUCUGUUAUUAGGGAAGAACAAAUGUGUAAGUAACUAUGCACGUCUUGACGGUACCUAAUCAGAAAGCCACGGCUAACUACGUG